rnacentral:lncRNA from 1 species
CUUAUUUGAAAAGCAUUUCUCUUACGUUUUAGAGAAAUACCUUUUCCUUGUGCUUUCAGCUGGAGUAUGCAUUGUAGUACAUAGGAGCAGAAAAAAAGUCCAAAUCAACUGUAGCUCUGUGUCUGCCUUUAAGGAAUAGGCAGCUAUUGAUUAUCUGUGCAGCAGUAUGGACCUUUGCAAUACUUAAAACCUGGAGGAAAAAAAAAGCGACAAUAGAAACUCCAUUGAUUGACUGUCCAAUGUAACACUUACAAGUUGGAG